AGGGUACUAGGAGCACAAAUGCUCCAGUGUGAAAUUGACUUCUUCUGGGGAUGGUAGGGCUUCCUCUGUGGUCCAGUUAUGGUGACGUCCCUAACUGGCAGCCUGGGCCCCAGCGUCAGGAGUUGGGCUCAUGGUGACACAAAGGGAGAAGACCUGGAAGACACUGCUAGACCAACUCAAAAUUACAAAGUUUUCCAGAGCUUAUAUGUCUUCUAAGCCAUAUGUCUAUGUCUGCAGGAAUGUAGACAAUUCAGAGGCUUUGUUCCCUAUAAUUUGGAACUUUCCUUCAGAUUUGACCAAGUCGGGUAGAGAUGAUCAAACUUAAUGGGAAAAAGACUGAAACAACAAAAACAGAAACAAACAAACAAACAAACAAAACCAGUAGCUCUGGUGGCCUUUACCUCAGGCUUUGAUGACAGACGGAGGAACCAACAAUCUAACCUGAUGCCUGCCUCUCCCCACGCCAGUGCUGAGGAGCUCCUGCAGAGAAAGCCUGCUCUUCCAGCCCUUGUACUCAGGACAGGUGCCCGGUGGUCCCUCAAGACCCUUUCUCAGCAGUAAAUCCUAGCUGCUUUCACUG